rnacentral:rRNA from 1 species
CGGGAGGCUGCACCAGUGGGGAAUAUUGGACAAUGGGGGAAACCCUGAUCCAGCAAUGCCGCGUGUGUGAAGAAGGCCUGCGGGUUGUAAAGCACUUUCGGUUGGGAGGACUGCUUCUAGCACUAAUAUUGUUGGAAGUUGACGUUACCUUCAGAAGAAGCACCGGCUAACACCGUGCCAGCAGCCGCGGUAAUACGGAGGGUGCAAGCGUCAAUCGGAAUUACUGGGCGUAAAGCGCGCGUAGGCGGCUAGAUCAGUCGGGUGUGAAAGCCCCGGGCUUAACCUGGGAACUGCAUCCGAUACUGUCUAGCUUGAGUACAGGAGAGGAGAGUGGAAUUCCACAUGUAGCGGUGAAAUGCGUAGAUAUGUGGAGGAACACCAAUGGCGAAGGCAGCUCUCUGGCCUGAUACUGACGCUGAGGUGCGAAAGCGUGGGGAGCAAACAGGAUUAGAUACCCUCGUAGUC